rnacentral:rRNA from 1 species
UCCUAGCCGUAAACGAUGAGCACUACGUUGGGGGAGGUCCGACCCUGUCCCAGCCGAAACUAACGCAUUAAGUGCUCCGCCUGGGGAGUACGGCCGCAAGGUCGAAACUCAAAGUAAUUGACGGGGACUCGCACAAGCGGUGGAGCAUGUGCUUUAAUUCGAUGCGACGCGAAGAACCUUACCCGGGCUUGACAUGCUCGGAUUAACCCGGCGAAAGCCGGGCCACACCCGCAA